rnacentral:tRNA from 1 species
AGCCCCGUGGUGUAGCGGCCAAUCAUGGAAGCCUUUGGAGCUUCUGACGGCGGUUCGAAUCCGCCCGGGGCUA